rnacentral:rRNA from 1 species
AUUGAACGCUGGCGGCAGGCCUAACACAUGCAAGUCGAGCGAGUGGCGGACGGGUGAGUAAUGUCUGGGAAACUGCCUGAUGGAGGGGGAUAACUACUGGAAACGGUAGCUAAUACCGCAUACCAUCGGAUGUGCCCAGAUGGGAUUAGCUAGUAGGUGGGGUAAAGGCUCACCUAGGCGACGAUCCCUAGCUGGUCUGAGAGGAUGACCAGCCACACUGUAACUGAGACACGGUCCAGACUCCUACGGUAGGCAGCAGUGGGGAAUAUUGCACAAUGGGCGCAAGCCUGAUGCAGCCAUGCCGCGUGUGUGAAGAAGGCCUUCGGGUUGUAAAGUACUUUCAGCGUGGAGGCGGUACUCGCAGAAGAAGCACCGGCUAACGCCGUGCCAGCAGCCGCGGUAAUAC